GUGAAUGAGAGGAGGAACAGGACGACACCAGGACGCAGCUCAAAUAUCCCUAAGUGACGUAUUGGCCCGUAUCAUGUGGGCUCUCUUUCCUCCUGACUGCACGGGACAUUGAGUGGGACAUAUCAAAUGGGUCCCUUGGUCCUAUGCCUAAACAUCAUCUGCGUCUCUGG